UGCUGGUCCAGUGCCGCAGGGAAGCCGUUAAGUCUGCCGCCUGGGUAGUACGGUCGCAAGACUGAAACUUAAAGGAAUUGGCGGGGAGCACCACAAGGGGUG
rnacentral:rRNA from 1 species